CGCGUAGGUGGGAAAGGUAGUCAAAUGUGAAAUCCCGGAGCUCAACUCCGGAACUGCAUCUGAAACUCCUUUUCUUGAGGGUAGGCGGAGAAAUAGAAUUCCACAAAUAGCGGUGAAAUGCGUAGAUAUGUGGAAGAAUACCUGUGGCGAAAGCGAUUUUCUAGCUUAUUCCUGACACUGAGGCGCGAAAGCAAGGGGAUCAAAACA
rnacentral:rRNA from 1 species